UACGUAGGGUGCGAGCGUUGUCCGGAAUUACUGGGCGUAAAGAGCUCGUAGGUGGUUUGUCGCGUUGUUCGUGAAAACUCACAGCUCAACUGUGGGCGUGCGGGCGAUACGGGCAGACUUGAGUACUGCAGGGGAGACUGGAAUUCCUGGUGUAGCGGUGGAAUGCGCAGAUAUCAGGAGGAACACCGGUGGCGAAGGCGGUUCUCUGGGCCUUACCUGACGCUGAGGAGCGAAAGCGUGGGGAGCGAACAGG
rnacentral:rRNA from 1 species